rnacentral:rRNA from 1 species
UACGUAGGGUGCGAGCGUUAAUCGGAAUUACUGGGCGUAAAGCGUGCGCAGGCGGUUUUGUAAGCCAGAUGUGAAAUCCCCGGGCUUAACCUGGGAAUGGCAUUUGGGACUGCAAGGCUCGAGUGCGGCAGAGGAGACUGGAAUUCCUGGUGUAGCAGUAAAAUGCGUAGAUAUCAGGAGGAACACCGAUGGCGAAGGCAGGUCUCUGGGCUGACACUGACGCUCAUGCACGAAAGCGUGGGGAGCAAACAGG